rnacentral:rRNA from 1 species
GAUGAACGCUGGCGGCGUGCCUAAUACAUGCAAGUCGAGCGAACGGACGAGAAGCUUGCUUCUCUGAUGUUAGCGGCGGACGGGUGAGUAACACGUGGAUAACCUACCUAUAAGACUGGGAUCACUUCGGGAAACCGGCGCUAAUACCGUAUAAUCUUUUGAACCGCAUUGUUCAAAAGUGAAAGACGGUCUUGCUGUCACUUCUAGCUGCAUCCGCGCUGCAUUAGGUAGUUGGUAAGGUCACGGCUUACCAAGGCGACGAUGCAUAGCCGACCUGAGAGGGUGAGCGGCCACACUGGAACUGAGACACGGUCCAGACUCAUACGGGAGGCAGCAGUAGGGAAUCUUCCGCAAUGGGCGAAAGACUGACGGAGCAACGCCGCGUGAGUGAGGAAGAUCUUCGGAUCGGAAAACUCUGUUAUUAGGGAAGAACAUAUGUGUAAGUAACUGGGAACAUCUUGAAGGUACAUAAUCAGAAAGCCACGGCUAAAUACGGG